CCUCCCAAAUUGUUGGGAUUACAGGCGUAAGCCACCAUGCCCGGCCAAUUGCAGCAAUAAUAUUCUUUUGCAAAAAAUUUGUUCACUGUUGGUACCGAAGAGCUGUUGAACAUCCUAUUACUGGACAGGAAGCAUUUGUCAUGGUACAGGCCAGGGUUUUCUGCCCCAAUCAGGGUCUGAUGUUAGGAGGUACGUGGAGAGAUGGGUAACCCUAACAGUGUCACCGUUUUCUUACUUUCCCCCAACAACUCAUCUCAUUUAUUCAUGUUUGUGUUUUGCAGACAAUCGGAAAUAACACGUCACAGUUACAAGUGCCAUUACAUAUAGUGGUAGUUUUUCUGAUCCUAGACAAAGACCACUUGAGUUUAUUACAACCCCUAUCAGCCAUGGUACUUUGGGACAGUCACUCAGCCUCUCUUAGGUUUAGUUUCCACGUCUAUGAAUAGGAUGACAAUCAUAUUCUGCAUGCUUGCUCUGAGGAUGGAAAAGACCAUUUCCCUUUUUUUAGAGUCAGGGUCUCGCUCUGUCGCCCAGGCUGGUGGGAGUGCAGUAGUGCGAUCACGGCUCACUGGAGCCUCGACCUCCUGGACUCAAGUGUUCCUCCCACCUCAGCCUCCCGAGUAGCUGGGACCACAGGCAUGAGCCACCGUGUCUGGCGGAAAAGACAGUUUUUAUAAUGACUUUUAUCUCUUUUAUUUCUUGACAAAACCAUGUUUUUGUUCACUACUUCAAGGUGAAUGAUGUCCUUCCGGUUCCAAAUCUAGUGUCUGAUUUGAGUGCUAGCUAGCCACUGGAUAGAUGCUGGAGGAAAAACAACUGCUCUCUGAUUUGAUUUUAUGCUUAAGCAGAUUUUCUGGAAGCUUGCACACCUGUUAUCUUUGAAAAAAUAAAUCGGUUAUUGGUUAAUUUUUUCCCCAAACAGUGAUACAAUGAGUUAUGAUUAUAACAUGACAUACGUGUACCUCAAAAUCAUUGUGUAGUACAAAUCACAAAACUUACAGGAAAAAUGGGGUUGGGGCACAAUACUCAAAACCUUUGUCAGUGACACAUAAAAAAAGAAGAUGGGAACCUAGUAACAAUGGUAGCACAGUUCUAUGCAUGUUAAAUGGCUAAAAAAUACUUAAGUGCUGCAGCAAGUAUGGCACCUCACCUUGAAUAAGACCUGAAGUUUGCUUGUGGAAAUGGCGGUGGAAGGGUUGCAGGCCAUGAAUUGGUGAAAGGAGGGUGUUCUGAAAUUGGACAGAAAGUUGUAACACCAGAUGCGGACUAGUGUGGCUUAUACUACGUGUGCUGAGCCGAGGGAGUGGAGUAAGGUGGGAAUCCCCUGGGAAUUUAAGUAAACACUGAUCAAAAUGUUUGUUUAAAACCAAUUCUCUUGUAUUCAUUACGUUGGCAUUUAGGAAUGAAGUGAUGUUUCCAGGACCUAUGUUGAUUGAAAGACCAAAGAUUUUGUACCUGUUGAGUCUACGUCUUUACAGUACAGUAAAUUUGUAAACUCAGAAGAGUUUAAAGAUUCAGUCAACAAUUGGGUAUUUAGCAAGGCACUCUGGGAAACAGAAAAACUAUAAGACAGUCUCUGCCUCGGGGCGACCAACUACUUUUUAAAAAUUUAACUGGAGUGUAUAUGAAAGAGGAAAUGGAGGCGGCCUGGUGCAGUGUGGCUCACGCCUGUAAUCCCCACACUUUGGGAAGCCGAGGUGGGAGGACCGCUUGUGUCCAGGAGUUUGAGACUAGCCUGGGCAACAUAGUCAGAUGCCAUCUCUACAAACCAUUUUAAAAAAUGAGUCAGGCGUGGAGGUGCGCACCUAUAGUCCCAGCUACUUGGGAGGCUGAGGUGGGAAGAUGGGUUGAGCACGGGAAGUCAAGGCUGCAGUGAGCCGUGAUUGCACCACUGCACUCUGACCUGGGUGACACAGUGAGACCUUGUCUCCAGAAAAAAAACAACAAAAGGAGGAAAUGAAAAUCUAGAAAAAAUAUGUGAAAUCUUUUCCUAUCAGAUGUUUCCCCCUAAGCUUUAAUGAUCCUAUUUCAAUAAAGGAAAUAUGGGAGAAUAUUGAUGACUGGCAGCAUGUAGUGGUUAAGAGCACCGGACUGGGAGCUGAAGAGUCUGUGAUUCCCGAACUCCUGGGCUCAAGCGAUCCUCCCACCUCGAUCUCCCAAACUAUUGGGACUAUAGGCAUGAGCCAACAUGCAUGGCCGAGUCUGUGAUUCUUUACUGGAAUUGAGUGACGUGUGUUUCCUUCUUAAAUGACAUUGUGAAUUUCCAAGAUCCUUGAAAUCUCUUUGCAUCUCUUUCCAAUUUGCCAUCACUAUGCCUGAAGUUCAGCUGAAAUGCUUAUAUUUCAGCUUAGACCAUUACCUGUAUUCUGAUCAAAUAUGUUAUGGCAUCGAAGCUAAUUUUGAGACAUGGUCCCUAGGCCACGGGACCUAAUGACCAGAGAUGGAAGUCCAUGUGCUGCUUCUGUCCCAAGGGAGAUGAGUAUCUGUUAGGGGCUCACUCGGGACUCUGUGCUGCUACCUGAGUGCGACGCAGAUGCUGGAGACUUGAAAAGAUAUCACUGUAGACCCCAACCCUGUUAUAGCUGAUGAGGAAAAAAACUGAGACCAUGUAUUAUUGCCCCCACAAAAUGCAUGUAUUAUAUUGAUAAGAUGUGAACAAUAUAUUAUUCCUCACUAUUCUGCAAGUUGCCUUUCCAUUUUGUUGAUCGUUACUGAAUUCUUCCACCCUCAAAAAGGAUUAUAUGAGAAGAUUGUGAACAAUUGUUUGCCAACACAUUAGAUAACCUAGAUGAAGUGGACAAAUUCCUAGAAAUGUACAAACUAUGAAAACUGACUCAGGAAGAAACAGAUUUCAUUUCCUUCAGAUCUAUACCCAGAAGUGGAUAGCUGGAUCAUAUGGUAGUUCUAUUUUUAAUUUUUUGAUGGACAUUCACAGGCCUGGAGGCCAAAGAGGCAAGAAAGGAUUUUUGGACCCGGCCCAGGACCCUGCUGGCCUGCGCACCCUCGGGACACUGCUAUCUGUGCCCCAGCUGCUCCAGCUUCAGCCAUGUCUAAAAGGGCCCCAGAUACACUUCCGGCUGCUGCUCCAGAGGGUGCAAGCUGUAAGCCUUGGUGGCUUCCAUGUGGUGUUAAGCCUGCGGGUAUGCAGAGGGCAAAAGUUGAGGCUUGGGAACCUCUGUGUACAUUCAGAGGAUGUAUGGAAACACCUGAAUGUCCAGGCAGAAGUCUGCUGCAGGGACGGAGCCCUCCUGGGGAAACUCAACUAGGGUAGUGCAGAAGGGAAACCUGGGGUUGGAGUCCCCACACAGAGUCCCCCCUGGGGCACUGCCUGGUGGAGCUGUGAGAAGGGGGCCACCGUCCUCCAGACCCCAGAAUCGUAGAUCCACCGGCAACUUGCAUUAUACUCCUGGAAAAGCUGCAGACACUCAACACCAGCCCAGGAAAGCAGCCGAGGGGGCUGUACCCUGCAGAGCCACAGAAGCGGAGGUGCCCAAGGCCUUGGGAGCCCACCCCUUGCAUCAGUGUGGCCUGGAUGUAAGACAUGGAGUCAAAGGAGGUUAUUUUGGAGCUUUAAGAAUUAAUGAUGAUUUUCUGCUGUGCCCGCCCACACAUGUAGUUUCCUCCGCACAUGCGUGCCUUCCCUCCUUCCGGCCUUCAGGGUCCAUGGCCACCAUGGCGUAUUAGGGGUAGCAGUGCCUGUGGCAGCAUUGGCCUUUGCAGUGGUGGCAGCAGCACCAGGCUCUGCAGUGGCACCCACCGGCGGCUUAAGCCAUGGCACUUCUCACAGCAUUCAGCAGCAGCAUUGCUGUAACUGACAAAGACACCUUCGAAUUAAGCACAUUCCUUGAUUCCAGCAAAGCACUGCACCAUGACCAAGAUGAGCUUCCUGAGCAGUGAGGUGUUGGUGGGGGCUUGAUGUCCCCCUUUGACCAGUCAGGUUUGGGGACUGAAGAAAGCCUAGGUCUCUUAGAUGACUACCUGGAGGUGGCCAGGCACUUCAAACCUCAUGGGUUCUCCAGCGACAAGGCUAAGGCAGACUCCUCCGAAUGGCUGCCUGUGGGUGGGUUGGUCAGUGCCUCCGACAAUGGCAAGGAGGAUGCUUUCUUUGGGACAGAUUGGAUGUUGGAGAAAACGGAUCUGAAGGAGUUCGACUUUAAUGCCCUGUUGGGUAUAGAUGACCUGGAAACCAUGCCAGAUGAGCUUCUGGCCACGUUGGAUGACUCGUGUGAUCUCUUUGUCCCCCUAGUCCAGGAGACUAAUAAGGAGCCCCCUCAGACGGUGAACCCGAUUUGCCAUCUCCCAGAAAGGUGAACAAAACCCAACCAGGUUGCCCCCUUCACCUUCUUGCAACUUCUUCCCCUUUCCCCAGAGGUCCUGUCCUCCACUCUAGAUUAUUCCUGUAGUCUAGAGCUGGGAAGGGAAGCAGAUAUCUCUGAAGGAGAUAGGAAGCCAGACUUCACUGCUUACAUUUCCAUGAUCCCUCAGUGCAUAAAGGAGGAAGUCACUCCCUCAGAUAAUGAUAGUGGCAUCUGUAUGAGCCCAGAGUCCUAUCUCAGCUCUCCCCAGUACACCUCCAGGGGCUCUCCGAGUAGGAGCCUGCCAUCUCCAGGUGUCCUCUGUGGCUCUGCCUGUCCCAAACCUUAUGACCCUCCUGGGGAGAAGAUGGUAGCAGCACAAGUAAAGGGUGAGAAACUGGAUAAGAAGCUGAAAAAAUGGAGCAAAAACAGAACAGCAGGAACUAGGUAUCACCAGAAGAAGAGGGUGGAGUAGGAGGUCCUCGCUGGUGAGUGCAAAGCCCUGGAAAAGAAGAACGAGGCACUGAAAGAGAGGGCAGAUUCCCUGGCCAAGGAGAUCCAGUACAUGAAAGAUUCGAUAGAAGAGGUCUGCAAGGCAAGAGGGAAGAAAAGGGUCCUCUAGUUGAGGGUAGUCAGGAGCAUCAGUGUGCUUGUACACAGGAGUCUCACGCUGUAGCUGUGUGUUUGAAUAAAUUAUUUUGUAGUGGAAAAAAAAAAAAAAGAAUUAGUGGCUGUCCUGUUGGGUUUUGGACUUGCAUGGGGCCUGUAGCCCCUUUGUUUUGGCCGAUGUCCCCCUUUUGGAAAGGGAGUCUUUACCCAAUGCCUGUACCUCAAUUGUAUCUUGGAAGUAACUAACUUGUUUUUGAUUUUACAGGCUCAUGGGCAGAAGGGACUUGCCUUAUCUCAGAUGAGACUUUGGACUGUGGAGUUUCGAGUUAGUGCUGAAAUGGGUUAAGACUUGGGGGACUGUUGAGAGGAGAUGAUUGUAUUUUGCAAUGUGAGAAGUACAUGAGAUUUGGGAGGGGGCAGGGGUGG